rnacentral:rRNA from 1 species
AUACGGAGGGUGCGAGCGUUGUUCGGAAUUAUUGGGCGUAAAGCGCGUGUAGGCGGCCUUUUAAGUCUGAUGUGAAAGCCCCGGGCUCAACCUGGGAAGUGCAUUGGAAACUGGAAGGCUUGAGUACGGGAGAGGGUAGUGGAAUUCCGAGUGUAGGGGUGAAAUCCGUAGAUAUUCGGAGGAACACCGGUGGCGAAGGCGGCUACCUGGACCGAUACUGACGCUGAGACGCGAAAGCGUGGGGAGCAAACAGGAUUAGAUACCCUGGUAGUCCACGCCGUAAACGAUGGGUACUAGGGGUCGCGGGUAUUGACCCCUGCGGUGCCGAAGCUAACGCAUUAAGUACCCCGCCUGGGGAGUACGGCCGCAAGGCUAAA